rnacentral:rRNA from 1 species
CACCGCCCGUCGCUCCUACCGAUUGAAUGGUCCGGUGAAGUGUUCGGAUCGCGGUGACGGGGGUGGUUCGCCGCCCCCGACGUCGCGAGAAGUCCAUUGAACCUUAUCAUUUAGAGGAAGGAGAAGUCGUAACAAGGUUUCCUUAGGUGAACCUGCGGAAG